UUCACAUCAAGAUGUCUCAAAAUAAAAAGCGCAAAAUUGAUACCGAAUGCCGUGUUUUUAAUGAUAAUUGGAGUCUAAGUUAUUUUUUUAUCGAGUAUCGAAAUAAAGCUAUGUGUUUGAUAUGCUACGAAACUGUGGCGGUCUUUAAAGAAUUUAAUAUUAAAAGUCAUUAUGAAAGUAAACAUAAAAACAAAUACGUCAAUUGUGAAGGUACCUACCAAUAAUUGCACUCGGUCAUUUCCUCAUCGAUACCAUUGCCAAAGUAAUUCGCAAGAAGUUCAGGCGACGUCAUCGAUACCACAAGAAAAAAAAAGGUCUUCGAUACCAAUUAUUGCGCUGAAUAGCAGCCUAAUAAUAUUUAUUUUAUUUAAUAGCACAUAACAUUUUCUAUUACACGA